UUUUUAUAAAGAGGCGCGGAGAGACAGGCUCGAUGAACCGCCGGCAACCCCCAGCUACCCGCUGGUACGGUGCCAAUUCCUGAUCAUAUAAAAA
rfam:Hymenobacter sp. PAMC26628, complete genome.